rnacentral:rRNA from 1 species
UACGUAGGGUCCAAGCGUUGUCCGGAGUUACUGGGCGUAAAGUGCGCGCAGGCGGCGGUGCGGGCCCGGCGUGAAAGCCCCCGGCUCAACCGGGGAGGGUCGUCGGGGACCGCACCGCUUGAGGGCGGUAGGGGCUGGUGGAAUGCCUGGUGUAGUGGUGAAAUGCGUAGAGAUCAGGCGGAACACCCGUGGCGAAGGCGGCCAGCUGGGCCGUCCCUGACGCUGAGGCGCGAAGGCGUGGGGAGCGAACGGG